rfam:Hordeum vulgare subsp. vulgare, WGS project CAJW01000000 data, contig: morex_contig_45463
CUCAUACUACCUCCGUCCCAAAAUUCUUGUCUAAGAUUUAUCUAAAUAUGGAUGUAGCUAGCAUUAAAAUGUGACUAGAUACAUUUAUUUUGAUAAAUCUAAGACAAGAAUUUUAGGACGGAGGGAGUAUGUU